rnacentral:lncRNA from 1 species
ACCUCUUCUUGACCCAAUCCUGACCUUGCUCAUACCCUACAUGGAGCCCACCCUGACCCAACCUCAGCCCAGCCCCCAUGUCACUCACACAGGGUAGAGUAUGAAUCCAUGGCCAACUUCCUAACCUCCUGGAAUCUCUCCAACUGUCAUGGAACCUCCUCCCUGCCCCCAGCUGCAGGCCAGACUGAAGCCCUGAGGCCUGCCCCUGGACAGCAGGAGAGACCAGAGAACACAGAAGAAGGGUCAGAGAGAUCCAAACCACAAAGAACAGAGCCUAAACCUGGGAAAGAGACCAAGAAACUCCUAGGUGGCCAUGAAGGUGCCUGGAAGGAGGGGCUAAAGCAGUUGGCAGGCUGUUUAGUUCAUCUGGGAACUGGUCUUGCCCUGCAUUUCCACAUGUCCCAGAGGCCUCAACCUUACCACAAGAGCACCCAGCCAGAUGUCCUUCCAGCAGCUCCCGGUAAUACCCAAAAGGAGACCCCAAGCUCUCCGUCCAUUCUCCACAGUCACCGGGUCAGCACCCAAGAACCCCUGCCCACUCUCCAUAAUCGCCAAGUCAGCACCCAAGAACCCCUGCCCACUCUCCACAAUCGCCGGGUCAGCAUCCAAGAACCCCUGCCUACUAUCCACAAUCGCCGUGUCAGCAUCCAAGAAUCUCCACUAGUCAACAGUCGCUGGGGCAGUAUCCAAGACACACUGUCCAUUAUCAACAGUCGCCGGGUCAGUACUGAGAACACACCAGCCGCUGUUAGCAGUCGCCGGGUCAGUAUCCAAGAUGCACCAUCAGUUACCUACAGUCGCUGUUUCAAUACCCAAGAUGUUCCACCCAUUUUCCAAACUCGCUACUUCAGCAUUCACAAUUCUCUGUUAAUUACUCACAACUCCCUGACCAAUAUAGAGUCAGUUACCUACAGCAGCAGUCCAGCCAGUAGCAAUAACCAUGGGACAACAAGCUGGAGUCCCUGCUCAAGUAUUCAAGGCCUCACAUUGCCAAUCCAGGCCAAAGUCGAUGCCCUCCCUUCAAUUACUCACAGCCCCACGGCCAGUAUCAAAAGCGUCGAUUCAAUCAUCUGGACCUCUCAGGAGAGUUUCAGAGGCUCUGUGGACAGCGCCCAAUUCAACAAAAGUACUCUAGACAACAAUAUCCAGAGCAUACAGUCAAGCAGAUCCAAUGAGAUCCAUUCUGGCGGGUUUCAGAACAAGGGUAGAUACAGCCAUUCACAGCUGCCCAUGGGCUGGCGGCUGCUGCAUGGAGCCAAGAAGAUCAGCCGCCAGCUGAGCCUGGCACUGAGCCUGGUUGGCAUGAUGAUCAUCGCUCUCAUCUCUCUGGGCCAGCCCUGGAUCCACUUCCAGGUGCCACUCAGACCUCCUGGGCACCCUGAUGGCUCCUUGACCAUCCCCAUCAACACCAUCCUCUUUGUGCGGUGCCCUGACGUCUCCUGCCUACAUGAGUACGACCAGAAUGCUUAUUUGUUGGACUUUGCCUGGGCCUUUCUCCUCCUCGCCAGCAUCGCCAGCUUCUGCCUCUGCAUUUUACUCAUAAACAUCAUCUUCUUCACCAGCUCCAACGUGCCCUUGCUGGACUUCUCCAACGUCAUCUUCAGCAUCCUGGCAGGGACCAGCAUCAUCUUGGGUAUCCUGUUCUACCUGAUGCAGGCCAGUGGGUACCUGCAGGAAGGCAUGACCUACAGGCUGGGGCGCAGCUUCUACCUGGCAUGGAUCGGCGUCUUUCUCUUCCUGAUGACUGGUUUCUUUUCCUAUCUGAACUACAUGAAUUUCUGGUCCACCCUGGCGCUCCAGGCCAUCUGGACUUAGGACAUGGGAAUGACUCCAACACUCCAGGCCUGUUCCCAUGGCUCCCUGCCAAGUACCUGACAACCCUGCUCUCUAGUUGAGAGUCUUGCCCUUUUCAGUCCCCUCUGAAUACCCCCGCUCGGAUUAAUAAUUAGUAUAUUUAAAUAAUCUGUAUUUUUUUGUCCAGAAUAUUCUCUUAGCUCAGUACGUUGUUAAGGGUUCUGUGGAAAUGCCAUCUCUCCGUGGGCCCAUCCCUUGGGCCCUCUGGGGUAGAGGGAUAGGUAAGGGAAGGAACUCAGGAGAAAGAGAUGAAA